rnacentral:lncRNA from 1 species
GGCUGCUGCGUGUCUGGUAGAAGGACUGCCCCUCUCUGUCGUCAUGUCCACAUCCCAUCAACCCCGGGUAGGCACUGCCUACCAGGAUGCCCAAAAGCCCCCUGAAGGGGAGAGUAAGGGGCCUGGAUAUGCAGAUAUUCCUGAGGAGAAAGGAAAGCUCCCUUUACCUGAACUUGGAUGAAGCAAGUUAUUGCUAGUCUGAAGUUUCUUCAGAGUCAGGCAGGAAUAAUAAUAAUUAAAAGACCCAAUCUGAUCCCCAAGUCUUCCAACCACCACCACCACCACUCCACUUAAAUAUUAUUUAAAUAUUAAAUAAUUACGUGUACACACAGGUCAGGCUGUACUAAACUCUUCUAUACAUCUUGAUGUCACGGCUUCUCAGCGGAGAAGGAUGUUAAGCAAGGUUAAUGACACCCGGUGCCAGGCACUGAUGACAUGCAGCUGACAAGGCGAGAUGCCCUCACGUUGCCCACAGUGCAGGGGACUGGUGGGGACAGAAAGAUGUAGGUACCAGAUCCCAUUCAAAGGACCGAUUGAAUGGGAGUCUGCCUGGGUGGCCUCCCAAGGCUUCUUCCAUUCUAUCAUCGGGUAAUUAUUAUUAUUAUUUGUCAAAAACUACCCUGCUUUGUCACAAUUCUCAUUUCAGUUUAGCCAUAAACAUUCAACCUGGAUAGUUCGAUGCGGGAGUUUUCCUCUAUUUCCUGAGGGGUAAUAUUCGGUGUUAAUUACAGUUUCAAAGACCCAGAGUAAAUGAUGCGGGAAGGAGCCUCUGAGAGACCCUUCUCCCCACCUCUGUUGGUAGAUUCUGGCGGGAGCGCGCAGGGCCGGUUCCAUCGGCGGCGGUGCGGCCACAGGGUCCGGCCCUAAUCACGCCCUUGCCAACAGGAUGGCCUCCUUCAGUGCAAUUUCCACUCCAGUGCUGUAUCCAUUUUCUUUCUCCUCUUCAGAGAAACAGCCGGCCCUUCCUACUUCCCCGCCUCCUCCCCAGGCCCCUUCAAUAAUUGAGGCUAAGCUGGAGCCCGGCACCCUUGGGCAGCCCUUGAUUAAGACGCCAUCGAGUGGCCGCCUUCCAUGUCCGCGUCCUGGUCUCCGAGGCUGGUUAAGAUGGAGCCCAACGGCUCUCCUGGAGAAGAGUGACCCACCAUCCCGACCGUGAGAGAGAGGAAUUUUCGCGAAGCGGAAGGCACAUGCUUCUGAGGAGAGGAUCUGGCGUUCCAAAAGACUUACACCUUAAGCAGAACAUUCUAACUGGGUGACUGUGGACCCGACUAAGUCAAUAACUCAACAGACCGCAUCUUAAGAAAAGGCAGAGAACUUCCUUAAAACAUGGCUUUUCUACAUUCUUUUCAUUCUAGAGACUCAGAGAAGGAAACUGCGUUUCAGAAGCAUUAACUGGAUGGAAAUGGCACAGAUGGAGUUGGGAGCCAGUGCGACUCCAGAGCUGAGCUCCUGUGAGUGUCUGUGAAGCAGGUCACUGAUGUUCCCAGUGAUGGGGACAUACUGAAGCUCACCACAAGCUUAUUGUUGUGAUAAGUCCUUCUGCCACAUGGCAUCCGGAGCUGAGCACCUGGCAGCGCUUCUGUGGGGGGAGAAGAAUUAGCAAGAGGAGGCUGUGGAUCUUCAGGUUUGGAAUCCGAUCCGAGAUGAAAACAAGGAGCAUCAAAAAUGCCCUGGUGUAUCGCUGACUUUAAAAGAAUGUGCAUUCUUCCCCAUUCCUUCUACGACAUCACGGUAAUGGGUCCAACAUGAUGGCAGAAGUCCAUCCAUAGCCAAGAUAUGGAAACAACCUAAGUGCCCAUGGACAGAGGAGUGGAUAAAGAAGAUGUGGUAUGUAUACACAAUGGAAUAUUACUCAGCCAUUCAAAGGCAAGAAAUAAUGGCAUUUGCAGCAACAUGGACGGAGGGAUCCAUUUAUUUGUCGAUGGACUCUUGGGUUGCUUCUACCUUUUGUCUCUUGGGAAUAAUGCUGCUGUGAAUACGGGAGUACAAAUAUAUCUUCCAGACUCUGCUUUCAGUUCUUGUGGAUAAAUACCCAGAAGUGGAACUGCUGGAUCAAAUGGUAAUUCUAUGUUUAAUUUUUUGAGAAACUGCCAUACUGUUUUUCAUUGUGGCUGUACUGCUACAUUCUCACCAAUUGUGCACAAAGGUUCCAAUUUAUCCACUCCUCACCAAAACUUGUUAUUUUCUUUCUUUAAAAAUAUGUUUUACAGUAGCCAUCAUUUGGGUAUGGGUGGUAUCUUCUUGCAGUUGUUUUUUGUUUUUUUUGUUUUAUGUUUUUUUUUUUUGCUUUUUAGGGCCACACUUGUGGCAUAUGGAGCGUCCCAGGCUAGGGGUCCGGUCAGAGCUAAAGCUGCUGGUCUACACCACAGCCACAGCAACGCAGGAUCUGAGCCGCAUCUGUGACCUACAUCGCAGCUCAUGGUAAUGCCAGAUCCUUAACCCACUGAGCAAGGCCAGGGAUCGAAUUUGCAACUUCAUGGUUCCUAGUCGGAUUCGUUUCCACUGCACCAUGAAGGGCACUCCUCUUGCAGUUUUGAUUUGCAUUCCCUAAUGAUUAGUGAUGUGGAGAAUCUUUUCAUGUGCUUAUUGACCAUUUGUAUAUUUGGUCUAUUUGAAAAUAUCUAUUCAAGUUCUUUGCCCAUUUCCUUCCUUCCUUCCUUCCCUUCUUCCUUCCUUCCCUUCUUUCUUCCUUCCUUCCUUCCCUUCUUUCUUUCUUUCUUUCUUUCUUUCUUUCUUUCUUUCUUUCUUUCUUUCUUUCUUUCUUUCUUUCUUUCUUUCCUUCUCUCUCUCUCUUUCUUUCUCUCUCUCUCUCUCUUUCUUUCUUUUGUCUUUUUAGAGCUGCACCUGCACCACAUGGAAGUUCCCAGGCUACAGGUUGUAUCGGGGCUGUACCUGCCUGCCUACGCCACAGCUCACGACAAUGCUGGAUCCUUAACCCACUGAGUGAGGCCAGGGAUGGAACCCACAUCCUCACGGAUACUAGGCAGGUUCGUUACUGCUGAGCCACAACGGGAACUCCCUCUUUGCCCAUUUUUCAUAAGAUUUUUGUUUUGUUCAGUUGUAGGAGUUCUCCAUAUAUUCUGGAUAUUAAUCAGAUGGAAGAUUUACUUUUUUCUAUUCUGUGGGUUGCCUUUUCAUUCUCUUGAUUGUACCCUUUAAUGCACAGAAAUUUUAAAUCUUGAAAUAGCCCAAUUUGUCUAUUUUUCUUCUGUUGCCUGUGUUUUUGGUGUCAUAGCUAAGAAAUCAUUGCCAAAUCCAAUGUCCUGAACCUCUUCCUCAGUGUUUUCUUCUAAGAAUUUUACGUUUUAGCUCUUAUUGUUUAGGUCUUUGAUCAAUUUUGAGUUAAUGUUUCAAUAUGUGGCUUAGUAAGAGUCUAAAUUCCUUUUUCCCCCCCUUUGGCCACACCUGUGGCAGAUGGAAGUUCCCAGGCCUGGGAUCAGCUCCUUGGUGGAGCUGCCAUUGCCAUCUGGCCUUCGGGGAAGCCUCUAUGUUCCUGCUCCAUUGGUAAGGGAAAAAGGACCAUGGCUAAUUUAAAAUCCAGCUCUGGUUGGCCUCAAGCUUUUCUUUUUAAAAUUUUUUUAUUUUUAAUUUUUUGGGUCUUUUGUCUUUUUAGGGUUAAUACACUGAUAUAAAUUGCAAACGUAGUUAAUUUUUUAACGUUUGAAAAAAAAAAGAAAAUACCAUACAGAUGAUACACGUAACUCAACUUAGUAUGGCAAAAGACUUUCUGAUUAUAAGUACGACGAAAUAUAUUAAAAGAGAAAUGAUAGAUUUGAUUUUAUAAAUUGUGCGCAAAAACCCUUUAAAAGGAAACAAUAAGUUUAUCAUGGAAUGUUCAUCUUUUUUAAAUUUCUUUUUUCAAAUGAUUUUAAUUUUUUCUAUUAAAGUUGGUUUACAGUGGUCUG